rnacentral:tRNA from 1 species
CCAGGGUUAGUCUUAUAUUACUGUUAGGGGCAGUAGGUUGUGAUAUUCUGGU